UGGGGAAUCUUGCGCAAUGGGCGAAAGCCUGACGCAGCAACGCCGCGUGCGGGAUGACGGCCUUCGGGUUGUAAACCGCUUUCAGUGGGGACGAAUCAAGACGGUACCCACAGAAGAAGCCCCGGCCAACUACGUGCCAGCAGCCGCGGUAACACGUAGGGGGCGAGCGUUGUCCGGAUUUAUUGGGCGUAAAGAGCUCGUAGGUGGUUCAGUAAGUCGAGUGUGAAACCUCCAGGCUCAACCUGGAGACGCCACCCGAUACUGCUGUGACUAGAGUCCAGUAGGGGAGCACGGAAUUCCUGGUGUAGCGGUGAAAUGCGCAGAUAUCAGGAGGAACACCAGUGGCGAAGGCGGUGCUCUGGGCUGGAACUGACACUGAGGAGCGAAAGCGUGGGUAGCAAACA
rnacentral:rRNA from 1 species